GUAUGUUAAACGAGAAGACUUUAGAUAUGAUCCAGAGUACCACGGGACACGUGAAACCCUGUGGGAAGCAGGAGGGACCACCCUCCAAGGCUAAAUACUACCUAGUGACCGAUAGCGUAUAGUACCGUGAGGGAAAGGUGAAAAGAACCCCGGGAGGGGAGGGAAAUAGAACCUGAAACCCUGCACUUACAAGCUGUGGAAGCACAGUUCUUGUGUGACCGCGUACUUUUUGUAGAACGGGCCAACGAGUUACGUUAAGUAGCAAGGUUAAGCACUUAAGGUGCGGAGCCGUAGCGAAAGCGAGUUUUAACUGAGCG
rnacentral:rRNA from 1 species